rnacentral:rRNA from 1 species
CAGUCGCCGCGGUAAUACGGAGGGGGCUAGCGUUGUUCGGAAUUACUGGGCGUAAAGCGCACGUAGGCGGCUUGGUAAGUUUGAGGUGAAAGCCCGGAGCUCAACUCCGGAAUUGCCUUUAAGACUGCCGAGCUAGUAGGUGAGAGAGGUAAGUGGAAUUCCGAGUGUAGAGGUGAAAUUUGUAGAUAUUCGGAAGAACACCAGUGGCGAAGGCGGCUUACUGGCUCAUUCUAGACGCUGAGGUGCGAAAGCGUGGGGAGCAAACAGGAUUAGAUACCCCGGUAGUCCCUGUCUCUUAUAC